rnacentral:lncRNA from 1 species
AACGUCCCAAUCCGACCGGGUAGAGUUCGCAAAGGCUCGGAUUGAUGUCCCAAUCCGUUUAGGCGGAGUUUUCAUUGAAGUUCGUGUCGAUGUCCCAAUCCAACCGGGCAAAGUUGAGAGAGUCUUGGUUCAUAUCCUAAUCCAACCGGCUGUUGUUGUGUGAUUUGUUGACUUGACGUGAUAUGGCGCGAGUUGAUGUUCCAAUCCAACC